UGACAUCUUCAGCUCAUGGUUAGGUUUUGU
rnacentral:piRNA from 1 species